CAGCGGUCCCCUUCCAAGGAGCUGGGACUACAGGGCACCAUGAUGGAUCCUGGGAAUGAUGAUAAUGAACGCAAUAGAUACAGCCUCUAUUCUUAGACAUCUUGCAUGUAUCAGGGAAGACAGGCACCAAGGCAUACUUACAACCAAAGCAUUCCACGACCAUGUGAUCCAGGAGAAUUCCAGGGUCAAGAGCCAGGGUAUUGGAAGCCAACCUGUCUACAGGUGACCAACACUGAACUUACUUUGGGAAACACUGUUCUAGGGUAAGAGGUCUCAUGUAUUUUUGGUGGGGAGAUCUUUUCAUGACUGAAAGACUCAAAAGGCCAUUUUUAUCCUCUGCCGU
rnacentral:lncRNA from 1 species